CGCUGGCGGCAGGCCUAACACAUGCAAGUCGAACGGUAGCACAGAGAGCUUGCUCUCGGGUGACGAGUGGCGGACGGGUGAGUAAUGUCUGGGAAACUGCCUGAUGGAGGGGGAUAACUACUGGAAACGGUAGCUAAUACCGCAUAACGUCGCAAGACCAAAGAGGGGGACCUUCGGGCCUCUUGCCAUCAGAUGUGCCCAGAUGGGAUUAGCUAGUAGGUGGGGUAACGGCUCACCUAGGCGACGAUCCCUAGCUGGUCUGAGAGGAUGACCAGCCACACUGGAACUGAGACACGGUCCAGACUCCUACGGGAGGCAGCAGUGGGGAAUAUUGCACAAUGGGCGCAAGCCUGAUGCAGCCAUGCCGCGUGUAUGAAGAAGGCCUUCGGGUUGUAAAGUACUUUCAGCGGGGAGGAAGGCGAUAAGGUUAAUAACCUUGUCAAUUGACGUUACCCGCAGAAGAAGCACCGGCUAACUCCGUGCCAGCCGCCGCGGUAAUU
rnacentral:rRNA from 1 species